ensembl:miRNA Mir6914 microRNA 6914
CUGACUCCUAGGGUGGUGGUGGCCAUAGAAACGAGCUCUGUAACUCUGUCCACCUCUUCCCAGGCGCGG